AGCAGCCUUAGCAUCUCAUGCCUGUUUCUGGGGUCUGCGCUGAUAGCCACGGCUUACGCCCGUCUCUGGAGCUCAUUUAGGCGGUGCUCUGAAUCCCCUCUCCUUGUGCACCCCAAAACAAUGGUCUUGUGCCUGUUAGGCAGCUCCAGACUUUUUCCUGGACUCCCUCCCGGCUAGCCGUGGCGCACUAGCCCCUUCAGGCUGUGUUCACGCAGCUGACCCCAGUCCUCUCCCUGGGAUCUGACCUCCGAAGCCAAAGCCUCAGCUCCCAGCCCCUGCCCGCCCCGGCGGGUGAGCAGACAAGCCUCUCGGGCUGAAUAGUGCAUUCUAAUUGUAGAAAAUCUGAAUAACAAAGAAAAGUGUAAAACAGAAACCAGUCGAACUCUUAUCCCUCAGAGAAACUUAAUAUUAAGGUGAAUGGCAUACAAAGCUGAAUUUAUAAUUGACUGACCACGUAUGAAACACUGACAAAUGGAUCGAUGCUGAUCUGGAAGAC